CGCAGUAGGUCGUGGACUCGAUGCACUCGCUCGCUAGAAAAAAAAAGGAAAAAAAAGAAUACUCUGUCAGUCCGUCCGCACCGUUUCUUCACGAGCCGAGCGGCGGCGGCAUCCCGGCGGCGGAGUGGCGGUGCCGGAGAAACUCCUCCAUCCCCGCCUCCCCGGUGGCCAGUCCUUCUCCGGCGACCCGUCAUUCCCCAGCUAUCCGUACAUUCCUCCUCCUCCCGCUGUGUGUGGCGCUGGCUCCGGCGACGCCUCCUCUCCAGCGGCAGCGACGAGACAUCGAGAUCUGUUUUUCUUCUCCUUCUCUACUGCAACAAACAUAGACUUCUUAAUUAGGAAUUCUUUGCGCCUGGGCUGUUGGUUGGUCGCAGUGCCAUUGGUUAAUUAGGAAUUGUUUGUCUCGGCACUUCCCUUGGCAAAAAUUCAGUAUAUAAAACCCAGGUUGGUGGUUUUGCGGUUCUCUUGCUAAUGUAGACAUUUCUUCAGAUGGAGGAUACGGAAGUGCCGGCCAGAUCAGUGGAACACUACACUGCCGUCCAGACCAACAUCAAGUACUAACAUGAACAUCGUUUCAGACGUUGUCAUUGAUCGUUCUUUGAUCCUUUUCAAGCUUUAUUCAGCCAAGAAUCCAUGUACGUUGCAGGGACAUUAAUGUUUAGUUACUAGUGCUUAUGAAUUUCAUGAAUUGUGAUCUAUGUUCCAUGUCUCUAGCUUUAUUACUGUUUUCAUGCGGUCCAAAUUGAAUACUCCCUCCGGUCGGAAUUACUUGUCGAAAUAUUACAGGUAUCUAGACGCUUUUACACAUAGAUACAUCCGUAUUUGGGCAAAUUUGAGACAAGUAAUACCGGUCGGAGGGAGUAGCUAAUGUAGCUCUAGGUUUUUCAGUUUCCAUGUCUCCAUUAGUUAGCAGUGCUGUACUUAAUAUACUGUUCUUGGAAUACUUUACUUAUGUUCAGUUUCUAGUCUCAUCGUCUACUUUAACCCUGCACUAUGUCUUGGAAGGGUGUCAGAUUACUAAAAUCGGCUUCUACGCACGUGCUUAUUUGAUUGCUUACCUCCUUUUAUUGACCUCUGUGUUUCCUGAGCAAUGCAACUCACAGGCAUUGUCGAAGGGCUGGAGACCGUACUUUUAUUAAGAAAGAAAGGCAGAGUACAGGGAGAAACCAGAGUAGGCGAUGCCUACAAGGAACAGGGCAAAACACCUGUUACAGACACCACCACUGAAAACACAACUUGCCGCCGUAACAUCUUAAACACACAACAUCUGACGGCAAACAAGCUACAAAGAAGGACAAAUCAGAAGGCCUCAAUACAUCCAGCAGCUUUUCAGGCGCGGAGAUCCUCAAUGAUCAGCUCAGCUACUCGCUCCACAGUGGCUGCUUCGUGUUGGAAAAUUCUGGCGUUGCACUCUUUCCAAAGUCUCCAAUGGACAAAGAUUGUGAAAGUGUCGAAGUCCUUCUGGAGUUGUCGGCGGCUUAAACUUCUGGAAAUAUUUUUGUUUGCAACAAUGUGAGCGAAUCCCGUGUUCAGAGUAAUCACGGAACCAAUCAUAGAUAUGCUGAUACAAAAAUCUUUUGAGUUGCGGUGAUUGCUGCCUUCUGCACUGUUAAGACUGAAAACCUGAACAACUGCCAGUACUAAGCCGAGAGGAUACUGAACCUCUUGAAGCUCAGUUGAUAGGAAAUCAGCAAAUAUCGAAUCUUUUGAAGUGGACAAUGCAUAGAAAAUCAACAAAAGUGAGGAGAUAUAGUGGUGUUGCAGUGUGUAUUAUGAUAUAAUUGUAACUGAGAGUGCUCUUUGUUGAUUUUUAAAAGUAUCCACUGAAAUGCAAUGGUAGAACUCACCAUGCUAAAACCUUUGUAAUAUUUGUUGAUUUUUUUUAAUUAAGGAGCAAAAUUGAAUGA